AAAUCCAGCACUUAUGCUUCUGAAACUCCAACCAGCAAAUGGAAGCCACAGCUCUUCUCUUUGGACCACGGGAGUGAAGACAAGAAAAUAAAGUAACUGCAGAGAAAAUGUGGACAUGAUGGCUGAAUCCUGAGAGAAAGAUCACGGGAAAUUGCAAGACUUCAGCUCUGAAAUCUUGGAGUCCCUGAACCAACACCAGUGACUACCUACCUCUGGGCUUCUUGGGCAAGAGGUAUCUGGGACAUCAACAGACCUUUUACUUCCCUCCUCCUGUUCAAAUCUCGUCAGCUACAUUUUAUCCUCAUUACCCCAAUUCCCUAUACACUGAAAAUGCCAGCAACACCUUGAAGACUUGAAAGAGAUAGAAA